UACGGAGGGUGCAAGCGUUAUCCGGAUUCACUGGGUUUAAAGGGUGCGUAGGAGGGCAGGUAAGUCAGUGGUGAAAUCUCCGAGCUUAACUUGGAAACUGCCGUUGAUACUAUCUGUCUUGAAUAUUGUGGAGGUGAGCGGAAUAUGUCAUGUAGCGGUGAAAUGCAUAGAUAUGACCCGGAACACCUAUUGCGAAGGCAGCAGGCUAAACAAAUAUUGACGCUGAGGCUCGAAAGCGUGGGGAUCAAACAGG
rnacentral:rRNA from 1 species